GCUAAUACCGGAUGGUUGUUUGAACCGCAUGGUUCAAACAUAAAAGGUGGCUUCGGCUACCACUUACAGAUGGACCCGCGGCGCAUUAGCUAGUUGGUGAGGUAACGGCUCACCAAGGCAACGAUGCGUAGCCGACCUGAGAGGGUGAUCGGCCACACUGGGACUGAGACACGGCCCAGACUCCUACGGGAGGCAGCAGUAGGGAAUCUUCCGCAAUGGACGAAAGUCUGACGGAGCAACGCCGCGUGAGUGAUGAAGGUUUUCGGAUCGUAAAGCUCUGUUGUUAGGGAAGAACAAGUACCGUUCGAAUAGGGCGGUACCUUGACGGUACCUAACCAGAAAGCCACGGCUAACUACGUGCCAGCAGCCGCGGUAAUACGUAGGUGGCAAGCGUUGUCCGGAAUUAUUGGGCGUAAAGGGCUCGCAGGCGGUUUCUUAAGUCUGAUGUGAAAGCCCCCGGCUCAACCGGGGAGGGUCAUUGGAAACUGGGGAACUUGAGUG
rnacentral:rRNA from 1 species